rnacentral:rRNA from 1 species
UACGGAGGGUGCAAGCGUUGUCCGGAAUCACUGGGCGUAAAGGGCGCGUAGGCGGCUCAUGAAGGCUGUGGUGAAAGCCCGGGGCUCAACUCCGGAAUUGCCUUUAAAACUGCAUCGCUAGAAUUGUGGAGAGGUAAGUGGAAUUCCGAGUGUAGAGGUGAAAUUCGUAGAUAUUCGGAAGAACACCAGUGGCGAAGGCGACUUACUGGACACAUAUUGACGCUGAGGUGCGAAAGCGUGGGGAGCAAACAGG